GGGGGGCGAGUAACAUAAAACACAUGUCGGGACAUUCCGUAAUCAAACUUGUCCAAUCAAAGCUCCGAGUUUGGCUGCAAAAAGCGUUGCUGAAACUCACGAAUGUCUGAGUACGCAGAGACGUGUAACUGACCGCUAAACCCAGAGGUGAUCUUUGUGUACGUAUGGCAGCUGACUGGUCUCUGUGCGGCUUCGCAGUUUCCCUUUUAUAUAAAUUAGAAUUUUGACUUUGCGAUUACGGCAAAGACACAUGGGUUUCAUUUUUGUUUUCCACCUAUGUAUUUUCCUGGCGCACUGACGUCCUGACGCUGUGUCCACUGGCACACGUGGCCGAGGCCCCGGGUCACCAGUAGAUCACCGGUCCUCUCUGAUGGACCAUGACAGGGUGACACUCACCACUGUUGCCUGGUGCCUGGAGGCUGUGCUUGGUGAGGGAACACCAGCCCACGGGGAAGAUGUCCCGCGAAUCCCACUUGCACCAGUAGUCGAAGGCACCCCGCCAGCCGUCGAACAUGACGAACACCUCGUCGCCCCUCACCUCCCCAAUGGUUGCCGGGCAGAUGAGGUACGGGUUCUUCUUGUCCACAGCCUCCAGCUUCAUGCCCGGCUUAAAGAUGUUCUGUGGAGGCCUCGGUGGUUCCUGACGAUUGGUGAAAUAACGAUUUUUAAAUACGCACACUACCGACAAGAUGAAAAGAUGAAAGGUGGUUUUCCAAAGCUUUUUGAAGCACUGUGUACCUUUUUAAAGGCUGUCGCUGGCGCCAUCUCUGCUCCAUUCAGGGUUCUCAACAGAAACAUGGGCCAUGAGGACGCAUUCAUACGAAAACCUGGAGAGAGACAAUUUUGUCUAAUUUACGACAUCGGCAAAUGCAGAAUACAAUUUUUUACAGUCAUUAAUGCACAAUGUGAUCUGCUGGAUCGUUUCCAGAUUUGUUGGCGGCAUUGGAAUCAUUUCUUUUUUUCUUCACUGGACCAUUUUUAUGUUUUUCUUUUGGAUCGGUAUUUAUUCUAAACAGAAAGUCAGAUGUGAUACAUUUUAAUGAAUUUCAUUUAUGAAGAACCGCUGAUAUUGGAUUUGUGUGGUUGCAAAAAUUAACCGUUAAGUUCUUUUAAUCCGUGUGUAUAUUUACACACACUUUACUAUUCUGAUCAUUCCAUAUUUACUACAAUAUUAUAACAAAAACAUGUCUGCCAACUUUCUGUUACCUUCAAGUUCUUUCAACUAAUGUAAGUAUAAUUUUCUUGCUGAACUUCUAUAACCCUACCCUAGUGUUUCUGUAGAUACGUACUAAGGAAUGGAACAAGUCUUCCUUUUGUUCUGUGUUGUGGAGAAUAACAACUAAGCAGUGAGACCUUUGUUAUAGAUGACAUCACCAACAUGCUCACAUCCCACCACCACCAUUUCUUACCCAGUGGCGGCUGCAACAUGUCCCCGUUCUUCUCGCAGGUGCCGAUGGGCUGGAUGUCAGAGGAGUCCACCAGCCUCCAGAAGUCGUUGCUGUUGUCACUUCCGUCCAGACGCAGGCGCAGACGGACCCCAGUCAAACCCAUCACCGUGGCGAUGCAGACCGAGGUGGAAUUGCGUGGGUCGUGAGCUUCAAGCUUCAUUCCCACUUUGAAGUCAUUGGAGGGAGGGACUCGAGCCUGGAGAUGAAAGGACAAUCACAUACACAUGUCGCCGUUAGCACUUCCCUAAUCGCUGCAUGGAAAUCAUUAUUUAAGCCAGUGGCUUGGGCCGGGUUUACUACUCCAGUAAGAAUACCAUGUACUCAGCUUAUUACAUGUGAUGGUACUGACUGAAGCAUCGCUAAAAUAUGAAAUGAACCGAGAAGGACGUACCUGACGAAAACAGCUUGGUGGAGCCGGUAUAGAUGAUGUUUCUUUCAGAUAUUCUUCCCAGCUGAAAGCAUCUAAAGAGGAAAAACAACAUGUUUCUUUAAGUUUUGUAUCAAUUGCAACCCAUUGAUUCUUGUGUAUGUAUGUCCAGUAAAUGAUUAAAUAAAACCCAGUAAACACACCA